UACGUAGGGGGCUAGCGUUGUCCGGAUUUAUUGGGCGUAAAGAGCGUGUAGGCGGCCAGGUAGGUCCGGUGUGAAAACUCGAGGCUUAACCUCGAGAUGUCAUCGGAAACCAUCUGGCUAGAGUCCGGAAGAGGAAAGUGGAAUUCCUGGUGUAGCGGUGAAAUGCGCAGAUAUCAGGAAGAACACCAAUGGCGAAAGCAGCUUUCUGGGACGGUACUGACGCUGAGACGCGAAAGCGUGGGGGAGCGAACAGG
rnacentral:rRNA from 1 species